rnacentral:rRNA from 1 species
UACGGAGGGUGCAAGCGUUAAUCGGAAUUACUGUGCUUCCCUCUCCCGCAGGCGGUCUGUCAAGUCGGAUGUGAAAUCCCCGGGCUCAACCUGGGAACUGCAUCCGAAACUGGCAGGCUAGAGUCUUGUAGAGGGGGGUAGAAUUCCAGGUGUAGCGGUGAAAUGCGUAGAGAUCUGGAGGAAUACCGGUGGCGAAGGCGGCCCCCUGGACAAAGACUGACGCUCAGGUGCGAAAGCGUGGGGAGCAAACAGGAUUAGAUACCCUGGUAGUCCACGCCGUAAACGAUGUCGACUUGGAGGUUGUGCCCUUGAGGCGUGGCUUCCGGAGCUAACGCGUUAAGUCGACCGCCUGGGGAGUACGGCCGCAAGGUUAAA